UCUGCUCGUCGGCCGAGCGGGGGCGCGACAAUAAGCGCUAACCGCGGCGAACAGUAAAAAACUGUACAGAUGGAUGAAGUACGACCUGUACGACAAACACGGCGCUCUUACCGGAAAGCAAAGAGGCAGAAGCGUAGAGAGAUUAAAGGACGAGCCUGCUCACAGAGUGUAAGUUACAAAGAAGUAUCAUCUAGCAGUUAAAAUUAACGUUGGAGCUGCAGCAACAACACGCAAGGAAUCGACGGACGAGAGCGUUACAUUACAUCUAGACCUAAUUCUUCGGACGAUUCGAGGGAUGAAAUCAUUUUUCUCCGCGAACUCUUAAAGAAACCUGCAGCAGAGAGCGUAGGCACUACUGGGCAGAACUAUGAAAUUCUGAUAGCUCAGGACUCCCUGGGUGAAAAAUGGGAAAGAGAGAAGGAGCAGCUCUUGAUUGAAUUUUUUAUACAGAAUCUCAAGAAGAUCCAGGCUUACGAGUCGGUGAGCAACUCGAUUUCGAUUCUCCGACGAUUAAUGCCGGAAUCGCCGAUUGGGCGGAUCGAGUAUCUGGCAGACACGCCGCAGUAUAUGUACACUUGAUGAGGAUUUGCGGAGGCGAUAAAUUAAAAAACGAAGCAGAAAAAUACAGGUUCCUCGAGAAGAUGACGAUCUUCCAAUAAAUACAUAUAUAUCAACUUGCGGAAGAGGAGGACGCGCGAAUUUCGGAUACCUGCGGCGUGGAUACGGCACACCGAGCGUGAAUCAACAGCUCGCUUAUCCGGCAGUCGCGCGUACACGAUAUAUCGGAAUAGUGUCGUUCCGCUCUAUUGCGCGCGAAAGGUAUAGCGAGUGCUUCUCUCGCGGCAAGUCUGCGGACUCGAAAAUGCAUCAGCAGGAUCCAGCAGGCGAGGAAUCAGCGGCGGCAGGGGGGGGAGAAUGGGCAUUUGCUCUAUCGGCGGCAGAACCAUUUCUCGUGCUUCGAGCGCUUGAGAUCGGAAGAAAAAUUGUGCGACGUCGCGAUCCAGGUAACAUAGCCGCGGGGCAACAGGUCCGAGCGGUCCGAGUCACAUUUGGGUCUCAUAGACUUCUCGAUCGUACAGGUGGACGGGCAAUGCCUGAAGGCGCACAGGUUCGUUCUCGCGGCUGCGAUUCCCUACUUUGAGAAAAUGUGCACAGGGACGAGGCGGUGAUCGUGAAGAAUGUCGGGGCCAGGUGCGCGCGAAGCGGCUUUUCCGAUCUGCAGGCAGCCGCGCGACGAGCAUAAUGCGCACUGAUAAUCUCCGAGGCUUGUGCUUUUCGCGUACACGGGCCAAGUCGAGCUGAGCGAGCGCAACGCCGACGGCCUGAUGCUCGACGCCGACUUCCUCGGGCUCAGGGACGCGGCCGACGAGUGCGCCAGAUUCCUCGAGUCCCGCAUCAGCGUGGAGGACGCGCUGGCCAUCAACCAUUCCGGCGAAAUGCUCGACUACCGAGCGCUGCAGGAAGAGAGCAGCAAGUAGCUACUGCGCCACUUUGCCAGCUUCGAGAAGACCGAGCAGUUCCUGCAAAUCUCCCUGGAGAACCUCGCGGAAAUAAUGUCGAGCGACGGGCUGUGCAGGUCGCCUCGGAGGAGCACGUCUACGCGGCGAUGAUGCGCUGGCUGAAGCACGACGUCGCGGCCCGAGGGGAGCACUUGCCCCGACUUCUCACCGACUGCUCAAGGACGUCCUCUCUAGGACGAGCUGAUAGCCGCUUCGGAUGAGUGCAAGAGCCUCGUCAACGCCGUCUGCAUAUACUCCCGAAUCAUACUGAAGGAGCAAAGCCUGCUGAACGACGUCAAAGCUCGAGACUGCGAGAGAUGAGAAAUUUGUCGCUCAUGGAAACGUAUACCACCCCGCGACAGGUAUGCGCCGCGAGCCAUUUGCCAUAUACCAAAUGCCGCGCGAUUCGACGCAAUCAGUAGAACUUAUAACGCUCGCUUCUGCUCUGCAGACACGUGGGAAAGGCAGACUCCUCCAACAAGAAAGGCAGCAUGUUUUUGAGCAGCGCCGUGCUGAAGGGCCAAUUGUACACGGUCGGCGGGGAAGUUUCGGUUCCCUCCAGCAUCGACGUUUACCAGCCUCACGCCAACCGCUGGAGGCAGAUCUGCAAGAUGAAAACUCAGCGCAAGUAUGCGUAUAUACUUGAUAUAACUUGCACUGCAAUUUUAUACUGAUACACCUGUCACGAGGAGCUGUCAACAGUUUUCCUCGAGUAGUUGCUCUAGGUGACUUCUUGUUCAUAUGCGGUGGACACGAUGGCAAAAAUUACCUCAACCUAGUGGACAGAUAUUGCCCGGAAACGGGCGAAUGGAAAACAAUGGCUCCAAUGAAUUACAAUCGUUAUACUCCUUCGGCGCUCUCGCUUGCCAAGGCUGUAUUUACGUCUGCGGCGGUUACGAUGAAAGCGCCUAUCUAACUUCGAUCGAAUGUUACGAUCCUUCGAGCGAUACGUGGACGAUCCUGAACGCGACCAUGAAAGAAAAUCGCUAUUACUUUGGGAUGUCAGUUUUGAACGAUAAAAUUUACAUAUGUGGGGGAAGAAGUACCGAUGCUGCAGCCUUGAACACUGUCGAGGUCUACGAUCCUAAACUAAAUGCGUAUGUAUAAUGUGUUGCACACACGCUACGACAUGUACGACAAGACUUUGGGUGCGCCUAUUAUAUAGUUUAUAGAAGCAAAUCAUUUUCAAGCUGUGAAUACGUAGCGAGCAUGAACACUCCGAGACGUGGUCUGAUGCUGGUCGCACGUACAUGGGAAAACUUUGGGCAAUCGGUGGUUUUGAUGGAAUGGACGCUCUUUCCUCUGUUGAGCUGUACGAGCCAGAAACGAAUACAUGGUCCUAUGGCGCCUCGUUAUCCGGGACUAGACCGUGGAUCUGUGGCGGCGUGAUUCCUAUUUACUGACUUCAGCGUUUGUAUUUUUUCGAGAAAAUCAAGGAUGUCCAAAUGAAAAUUUCAGAAAUGCUUUUACGUACUCGUGUAUCGUUUAAUUUAUUUCUUCGCGUGAAAACUGGGGAUAACUGCCGCCAUUUUAAAAUAUAAUGAUUAAUGCAGCAGGAACAUUCCAAACAUUCGCAAAAUUUGCGUCAACGUAAAUAUAGUGCCAAUUCAUUUACAAAUGACGAUUACUUUAUAAAAGUUUUACAAUUUCGCUAAGACUAACAUACCUUACAACUCCUUCGUUCAGUUUUUCAAUUAUUUUUCUAUAAAAGCGUAUUUUAUAUUGUUCACGUUAUUAUUAAAUCUUCAAAGAAUAUCCAUAAGUAACACUCAAUGCACGUAAAAAAGCUACUGAACACAAAUUUUAAAUCAUUACAGAGAUGUGAACAAAUACUGCGUACGUAAAAAAGCAACAGUGCUGACUACUUUGAUGCGAUCCCUUUUCUUUUUCUCUGUAAAAAUAUAGAAUAAUACAUAAAAUUAUGUUCUUUUAUUACUUCCAUUAAUAUCUACAGCCGCGCAAGUGCGGACGUGGACAGUCUAAGAAACAGUGCGCUUUACCAGCCAGUAAUUUUAUUUGAAUGGAACUUUAAAUUUUAAACACUGCAUAUAUGUACUUCUUAUAAUCUUGAAAGUAUUUUAAAAUGUUUUUAACGGGUUAUAAAAAUCAGCAGUCAUACAGUUAAAGUUAUAAAUAAGUAAGUUUUAUAAUAGUCUGUGUUUAAAAAGAAUUAUUUACAUUAUUAUGUUAUAUUUUUCCGUAUCACUGGGCUAUUCUUUUUUUUCAACAUAGUUAAACUAUGCAAAGCUUUCAUCACAAAAAAAAGAAAAGAACGCAAGAGCAAAAAAUAUAAUUGUUUCGUGGCUAUAGGUUAUUGUUCAACGCACUUCGUUCAUUUCUAAAAUCUAAAAAGCUUUUUAUUUAAAGUUUUAUUUCUUAAUACUUAUGCAAUAUAACCACAUUGAGUGAUUGUUUAACAAUCCAUUUCGAUUAGUACACUAAUAGGACUAUUUAAAAUAGUAGUUUUUAACCACCUAAAUCGUUGUCUUAUAAUGUUAAACAGUAUGCAAAAUUACGAGUUUUUAAAUCUUAAUGAAUAAGUACAAUUCAGUGCAAUAAAAUUUGAGAAAAAAAUGGAAAUACAAUUUUAUUGCAAGUACUAGUGAAAUUAACUUUGAGUGAAAAUGGGUGAUCAUUAUUUUUAUAGAUAAAAAAUUUCAGUCAAGUUUUUGUACUUAAACAGUUUAUGAAUAAUCAACUAGAGAAUGCCUAAUCCAAAGACUUGAUCGCGAUCCGUGAAUUACACAUCAUCUUUGAUUUUUUAUUCUUUCAUUACCUGCAUUUAGGUAGGUAUUUUUUUAUCUUCUUAUUGCGUGAAAAUAACAGAUAGAAUUAUAAUUCAGUUUUAAAUACUCACAGAUGAAUGUGAUUUUCAACACUAUGUAUAAUACUGCUGUAUGCUAU